rnacentral:misc_RNA from 1 species
ACACCUCAACUCUCAUGGUUUGCCAUGAUGAGCUUGGACUUUGGGGGUCUUGCUGGCCUAUGGUCAGCUCCUCUCAAAUGAAUCAGCUUGCCAGUGUUUGGUGGCAUCGCGGGUGUGAUAACUAUCUACACUUGUGGUUUUCCACCAGAUAACCUUCAGUGAUGAAGGUUCGCUGGAGCUCACAAAUGUCCCUCCUCAGCGAGGACAGCUUUUUGAAC